UGGAUAUCUUCCGGAUGGUUUAUC
rnacentral:siRNA from 1 species